AUUGUGAAAAGACCGGGGUGGAUCAUCCGAACGGUGAAUAAACUGACUGUUGAAAAUAGAGAGUUUACUGUAGUUUAAAUUGCACCUUACCAAAACAGAAUUAAAAAUCAAAAAAUUAAUCUAUGAUGCAAUUAAUUACUAACUGUAAAAGAAGGCACAAACAUGAGUUUUGCAUAGUUAAUCAGAUAAAAAUUUGAAUUAUUUGAAAAAAUUCAGGAUUUUUUACUUUAAAAAUUGUGUAUCUAAUACAAGAUUUUUAAACAUUGUACAGGUUUAAUAAUUAAAAAAGCAGUUCACAGUGAGAUCUUCAAAUUUGAUAGUUCAACUUCUCUUUUCUCAUAGGAGAUAUAUAUGAAGAAACAACGCCUGACAUUGAAAAACUUGGGCUAGAAUGUGAAUGUGUUGGUGGUGGCCGCAUACGUCAUAAUGCACAAGAAAAAACUAUUCAUGUUUAUGGGUAUUCUCAGGGUUAUGGAAGAGCAGAUCAUCUAAUUACCUGCAAGCUAUUGAAGGACUGUUAUCCAGAUUAUGUAAAAAUAGAUUUUUCAAAUGAUGGGUAUUAAUCGCAAACAGCAUUUCUUAAAACAAUUCAGUGUGGUUUAUUUCAACUGCGUUUAUUUUUUUCAAAGCAGCUUCAUAGUAUUGGUGGUUUUAAUAAACUGUAAAAAGUAAUACAACACUGCAAAAAAUUGCAUUUUAAAAUUUUAUGUUUCUGUUGAAAAUAAAAAUUAAAAAAAUUCAAUUUC